rfam:Zea mays cultivar B73 chromosome 9, whole genome shotgun sequence.
GCUUGUCUAGCUCAGUUGGCAGAGCGCAAGGCUCUUAACUUAAGGUCAUGGGUUCGAGCCCCAUCGUGAACA